CUGCCUCCAAGUCCGAGCCUGUGGAAAAGGGUGCCUUGGUGGCUGUGGAGAGGGGGAGGAAGAGGAGCUGCCGCUGCUGCUAGCUGCAGCAACACAGACAUGCAACAUCACACGCGCACGCCUGUAUGUGAUAUAUAACUAUGUGCAGGUAUGUGACAUCACACGUCCGCGUUGCAGCGACGGGCACCCACAAUCUUGAGGCAGAUGUUCCAUCAGCUGACCAGAUUGAUUCCAUCUGCCGUAAGAUUGAUCUAAACGUUCCUCCACACAAAAGUCACUCACAGUCUCGGCAAAACGACGUUAUAAAGGCCGGUCUCUUUGAGAGAAGACUUUCAGUGCAGAAACCUGGAUUUAUUGCUAGAGCAGUCGAUGGAAGGAUGGAGAAGGAAUGUGCGUAGAUUUAAAUCACUAUUCUCUUCCUUUGCGAUGUGGACUCUUCCUCUUAUUUCCUGGUCACCAGAUGAUGACUUCAGACAUCAUGCAUGAUGAAUGGACAGGGGCUGCUGUGUGAGAGAGCUGUAUCGAACCAGGACUUCAAAGUCCAUCCAUGUUGUCAAACUGCAUUCCAAAGGCCACGGGGAACUUUUGGCAACCUCUGUGAAAAGUGAGUUAUGGCUCUGCAGAUACAGCAUCCACGUCUUUCUGUGAUUUGCGUCCAAUGGAUCUGCACAGUUGGAUCGUGACUAAACCAUAGUGCUAUGAUCCAGAAUAGGCAGGCUCCUCAAUGCUACUUCAAACCUCGGCCUAAAUGUGUAACAAGAGAACUGCUGACAUGUGCAUCUCUGCCUAGAAACCUCAUGCAAAUGUUGACCUGAAGCCUUGCCCCAAAGGCUUGUCUUGGGGGCAAAGGAAAAGCAAUCUGCUGCCCCACAACAGAACAGGACUCUUGCACCCUUAAUAAAGCUUGUCACGCAAGCCACACUUGCUGAAAUCCCCUCUUCUACACAACUAUUAAAGGUGCCCGGGUCCUGCUGUAUUUUCCCACCUGGCUGUCCAGCAAUUGCAGAGAAAUAUCGCGACAGGGGAAAUUACAGCAAAACCUUGCAAAUAAGUCCACAAACAUUACUUAUCCACAAAUGACCAUGUUAAGCCUGAGGAAUGGCCUGGUUGUCAAGCAGUUCACAGAGGUUUCCUGGCCUGCGGAAGAAUCCUUUGAAGCCAAUUCUAAUUCACUACAGAUGAGGUGGCAAGUGAAUAGCCCGGGUCCCUCCAGGCACCCUUCUUAUCGUGCCUUCAUGAUGAUUUGUGCUCAUGAUGGUAUUGAGGCAGAUAAAAGUGAUCCUGCUUUCCAUACUGUUUGUGCAGGCAAAUGUUUUCAGGUUGGACAUUCAGCUUUGUUUCCAACCAGCACAUGUCCCACUGUUUCCUGCUGAAAUCCUGUAACUUUUUAUAUUACAAAUGUUCUGGUUGUUUUUGUUUUUUUAAAAAAAUUGUGCUUAAUGCGGCAAUAUUGGGAAAGUAUUGCAGAACAACUACUAAAGAUGUGAGGAUGGUCCCUCACUGCAGUAUAAAUCCACCAUACAUUAUCACAUUCAACGACAUGUUGCAUCAACUCCUCCGUCUGCACAAUAUUCUGGUGAAGCCUUUUCUGGUUCCUCACUUCUGAUGAAGGAGGUUGUCAGAAAAGAGCUCAGCAAAUGAGUCUUAGGGCCCAUCCACACUUAGAUAGAUAGAUAGUUUAUUAUGGCCAUAGGCCCAUAUUCAAUACCAAUAUACAUUGUACAACAAAGCAAAUAUGACAAAAUAAAACUAAAAAAUUAAAAUACAUAUCUAAAAUCAUAAAUUUCUAAAUUCCAUUAAAAUAAGAGCAAUACAGCACUUAAAAUAUCAGAUUAUCACUAUAAAUCAGUAUUAUUUAAGCGAAAUCAAUAAUCAUAAAGUAAUCCAUUUUUUCUCUUAUAAGCUGAGACUGUAAUCAGAAACCUGGCAAAAAAAAGGGACCUACUCAGAUCAGAAUCUUGCAGUAAAUGUGUUACCUGUGUUUCCAAGGAGUCACCCGAGGUUUCCAAUAAUAAAGGGGACAAAAAUCUGGUCCAAGAAACUGAAUACAGUGGACAGCAAAAUAGUAUAUGUUGUAAGGAUUCAAUAGAUCUAUUAUCACAUACACACACAGCUGAAAUCUGACCUUUGGAAAAUCUAUUGUUCAUAACAUUAGAAGGAAAGGCAUUAAAUCUUGCCUUAAUAAAGGCGUAUCUGUGGACCGCUACAGACAAGGAAGUCAAAUAAGAUGGUAUCUGCUGGGAAGGCACUAUGCCAAGAUUUAGUGGUGAGCAAGUGCCACUACCCAGAAUGGUGUUUUGUUGGAGGUCAAUCUCCUCAAGUUUUUGAAUGAGAGUUCUUUUAGCCGUGGCUAGGUCCAGUUUUAAUAGUUCUGAUGGGGACAAUCCAUAGGUCACUACUUUAGAAUGGAUCUCUCUUGCCCAUGGGCUGGGAAAAUCAUCCCUCCAAAGACAUUGAAUCAGGUACAGAUUCGGGAGCCUAUGCCAUAAGGACAACCAAUAGCAAAGGCUGCGCCUCCAAAGAGUAUUUUCUAAAGAUGUAGUUUUUAAUUCUAAGCGAAUAGCCACAUUGCUAACGCACUGAGGGAGUUUUAACAGCCGUCUUAGGAAUUGGUUUUGAAUUACCUCCAAGGGCAUAAAAUUUACUGCGGUCCCCCAUAAAGGGACAGCAUAUGCCAGUGUCGUGAUCACUUUGGCUUUAAAUACCUUCAGGGCAGAUGGCACAUGAAGAGACCCAUCGGAAAAGAAAAGGCACAAAAGCGCAAAAGAAAGGGCUUUAGCCUUAUUUGAAAUAUAUGCAAUAUGCGCCUUCCAACCCAGAUUGUAUUGGAGAAAAACUCCCAAAUAUUGAAAUUUAUAAACCUGUUCAAUAGGUUUUCCAUCUAAUUGCCACUUAUAGGAUUUUUGAUUUUUUGAGAAAAUUAGUACUUUUGAUUUAGAUUGAUUUAUAGUAAGGGAAUUGGUUUUACAGUAUGAAACAAAUAUUUUAAGUGCUCUCCUAAGGCCAAUUCUUGAAAAGGACAAAAUUACUGCAUCAUCAGCAUAGAGUAGUAAUGGGCAUCGAUAGUUUGCAAGACGGGGGGCAUGAAUGGUUGUCUGAGAUUCAGCCAAUGGUAUCCUCAUGUCACUAAUAAAUAAAUUGAAAAGAAAAGGAGCUAGGAUACAACCUUGACGGACUCCUCUGUUGAUGGGCACAGAGUUUGUGAGAUCGCCGGCUGGGGUUAUUCUCACCCUAGCAGCUGACCCCUCAUGCAGCUGAGUUAUUAGCCACAGAAGUCUUCUGUCAAUUCCCCAUCGAACCAACUUUUCCCAGAGUAACCUCCUGGGGAUGCUGUCAAAUGCAGCCUUAAGGUCGAUAAAAGCCGCACAGAGUUGGCCUUGGUUCGGGCUAGAUGGUGCAAAACUAAAACAUGGUCCGUUGUUGACUGGUUCGGUCUGAAUCCUGCUUGCUCAGGGCCUAUCAGUUUCUUUUCUUCAGCCCAUUGAGUAAGUCUACUCAACAGAAAACGUGCGUAUAUCUUUCCAAUUAUUGACAAUAGGCUAAUAUUCCUGUAAUUCUCCAGAUCAUCUGGGGAGCCUUUUUUAUAUAUAGGAAAUAUAAUAGCAUCCUUCCAUAUUUUUGGUACCCUUCCAGUUGCAUUAAUGGCAUCGAAGGUAACAGCAUCCACACUUAGGUUUGUCCCAUGAUUUCAAGUUACAGGUUCAAGAGGUUUGGUGGUGGUUGCUUUUUUGUCCUGCCAUUAUCCCUGGGAAAGCCUGCUUUGGGGAACAAGCGUUCCUCACAUUGCUGGGCCCUGAAAAUGAGCCACCUCCCUCCCAUUCUCAUGGCACCUUCUGGAUUGCUGUGGUCCAGUGGUAUACUAUGGGUUGCGCCCCUAAGAAUUUUUGCACCUGGGGCAACUGCCCCUGUGGUCUCCCCACGCUACACCACUGUUUAAAGGUACAGUAUAACAUAUACCCAGCCUAAGUAGGUGUAGUGGUUAGAAUAGGUUAGACUAGGACUGGUGAGACCCCUGCUUUAAUUCAGCAGGAGGCUCUUUGAGUGAUCUAUCUGAGGCCAGUCACUGACCUUGUUCACAUGCAAUAAUAAGCUAUUUGUGGGGGUGGAGAACCACAAGUCCAGAAGCUAAAUGUGACCCCCCCCUCUGACAGGUGCCACUCUCUGGUGCUUGUGACUCACUCCAGACCCUUCACUGGCCCUGCUCUAAGUUUCGUGCUGUUUUGUAAAACAGCAUGUUAUUUUGCAUUUUAGUAUUUCAUACCCUCCAACAUGUCUCCUAUGAUAAUAGAGACGUCCUAAGGAAAAGCGGGACAGUCUGGGAUCAAAUCAGAAACCGGGAUGGCUUCUCUAAAUCAGGGACGUCCCUGGAAAAUAGGGACACUUGGAGGGUCUGGUUUGUUUGUUUGUUUGAAUUACACAUGAGGGGCACCAUAAUCUUUUUAGUGCUUAGGGCCUCUAAAGGUCUUAAUCUGGCACUGAACCCUGGUCUCCCAGGUGCUCUUUGUCCAACACUUCAACCACUAUUGGCUCUCUAAGGUUACAGCUGCACUACUUAAAGCACUCUUAUAUCACUUUAACAGCCAUAGCUCCCCCCAAAGAUUCCUGGGAUUCCUGCUGUUUGUUAAGAGUGCUAGAAAUUGUAGCUCUUUGCAUGGGUCUCCCAGCAACUCUCUGCACCCUUAACAAACGUUUGAAGUUGUACAAGAGUGCUUUAAAUGUAUGGCGUGGGGUGACCGCAAUCAGUUCCCCCAACUCUCCACCAGCUUGUCCAGGAUUUGCCUGUCCUGGCUGCCUUGACACUGAGCUUCAUAGCAGAGGCUAGUUGGAAGGAACCACAUUGUUCUUCCUUUGUUGCUGCCAACACAGGCCCGUGGGUGGCCAAGAAUGUCUGCAUACUUGAGCCAGCCAAUCAUCUAUCAGGAUUGUGUUCUGACUUCCUAGGAGCCAAUGAAAGACAGGUGCUCUCAAAAGGCAGGAGAGGGUGGUGAAGAGGACCAGGGUGUGCUGGAACACCUGGCCUCUCUUCUAGGGCACAGCUGGCUUCCAUCCUAUUGAGAGAACCAAUGUUUACUCAACCUUUUAAACCUGUCAAGCACUAUGUGCAAAGGACUUGUGGUCAUUAUAACUCUGGGUGCUCCCAUGGCAAAUGUUUGCAAAGUGUCCCUGGGAGCCUUGAUUGAAAACCCUUCAAAAACCAGAGCUUGGAUAGUCAUGUUGUGUAGUUAAGUCCCCAGCCAAGAGAGACAGAGUCUCUCUGUCUCCCUCUCUCUCCCCCCCUCUCUCUCACACACCCCACUCAAGGGCCAAACUAGUACCCUGCUUGCAUAAGAGAUAGCUUUCGAAAGACUAAGGCCCCCAUCUGCACUGAAGGUAAAGUAGUAUAAUACCACUUUACACAAAGUGUAAAGUGGGGUGUUAAUCCUAUUAUGUAAAACUUAGUUGACAAACUUAGUUGGUAUCUAAGGUGCUACUGGAAGGAUUUUUUUUAUUUUUUGUUUCGACUACAUCAGACCCACACGGCUACCUACCUGUAACCACUUUACACAGUCAUAACUUUCUCCAAAGAAUCCUGGGAACUGUAGUUUGUUAAGGGUGCCGAGAGUUAUUAAGAACCACUGCUUCACUCACAGCAGGGGCGUACCCAGGAUCAAAACUA